AUGAAAGGAGGCAAGGCGAUGGGCCCUGAUUGUAUCCCCAUUGAGGUGUGGAAAGGUCUCGGGGACAUAGCGAUAGUAUGGCUAACCAAGCUUUUCAACCUCAUUUUUCGGGAAAACAAGAUGCCAGAAGAAUGGAGACGCAGUAUAUUAGUACCAAUCUUCAAGAACAAGGGGGAUGUUCAGAGUUGUACUAGUUACCGUGGAAUUAAGCUGAUGAGCCAUACAAUGAUGCUAUGGGAGAGAGUCAUUGAGCACCGCUUAAGAAGAAUGACAAGCGUGACCAAAAAUCAGUUUGGUUUCAUGCCUGGGAGGUCGUCCAUGGAAGCCAUUUUCUUGGUACGACAACUUAUGGAGAGAUAUAGGGAGCAAAAGAAGGACUUGCAUAUGGUGUUCAUUGACUUGGAGAAGGCCUAUGAUAAGAUACCGCGGAAUGUCAUGUGGUGGGCCUUGGAGAAACACAAAGUCCCAGCAAAGUACAUUACCCUCAUCAAGGACAUGUACGAUAAUGUUGUGACAAGUGUUCGAACAAGUGAUGCCGACACUGAUGACUUCCCGAUUAAGAUA
rnacentral:rRNA from 1 species